rnacentral:misc_RNA from 1 species
ACGAGAGUUGCCCUUUUCUGGGCAGACCUCCCACCCUUUGUGUACCUUUACCCUGUUGUUUUGGCAGGCCCGUCCACUCGGACCGCCGGCUCACGCUGGCCCGCGCCUGCCAGAGGACCAACCAAAAACUCGUGUUUUACGUGUCGUCUGAGUGUAAUAAGCAAUGAAUCA